rnacentral:miRNA from 1 species
UAUUGACUUGGCUCAUCUCUC